GACGAACGCUGGCGGCGUGCUUAACACAUGCAAGUCGAACGGAAAGGCCCUGCUUUUGUGGGGUGCUCGAGUGGCGAACGGGUGAGUAACACGUGAGUAACCUGCCCUUGACUUUGGGAUAACUUCAGGAAACUGGGGCUAAUACCGGAUAGGAGCUCCUGCUGCAUGGGGGGGGUUGGAAAGUUUCGGCGGUUGGGGAUGGACUCGCGGCUUAUCAGCUUGUUGGUGGGGUAGUGGCUUACCAAGGCUUUGACGGGUAGCCGGCCUGAGAGGGUGACCGGCCACAUUGGGCCUGAGAUACGGCCCAGACUCCUACGGGAGGCAGAAGUGGGGAAUAUUGCACAAUGGGCGGAAGCCUGAUGCAGCAACGCCGCGUGCGGGAUGCCGGCCUUCGGGUUGUAAACCGCUUUCGCCUGUGACGAAGCGUGAGUGACGGUAAUGGGUAAAGAAGCACCGGCUAACUACGUG
rnacentral:rRNA from 1 species